AGCAAAAAUAUAUAUGCUUCCUGUUGCAAUAGAUAUGAAGAGAGGUGGUCUAAAAGGACAAUAUUACAUCCUUCAGAAAGAAAUUAUUACAUCCUUCAAAAAUACUCUGGAUACCCAUGGAACCUAUGAGGAAAUAUGAACUUUAGAGAGACCAAUCACAAUGGGGCAAUUGUAGGGUAGUAACCAAUCAGUUUGCAUGAACUAUAGGGUGACCAAUCACAAUGGGGGAUUUCUAGCGUAACCAAUUAGCUUUCACCCUGAAAUCAGCUUGCCUGGAGAUAGGGUGUAAUGCUCGGUAAAGCACCACACUUCUUGUGGUGUCCGGUGCGCUCUCGACGGCCCUUGAAAAUUCGGGGAAGACAUUGAUUUUCGUGUCCGGUCGUACUCAUAACCGCAGCAGGUCUCCAAGGUGAGCAGCCUCUGGUU
rnacentral:ncRNA from 2 species